rnacentral:siRNA from 1 species
UGGCCGAAGCCAUUGAUGCUGCAA